UUCCGCCGAAAUCCUUGCCGGCGACUCCGGUGGGACCGAAUUCCUCGACGCUGGCUUGAAGCUCAAGCGCUUUGGAGAGGGUCGCUACGUCGUCGUCUUGCCUCGAUUCGGCGUCGUUUUCGUGAACGAAGUGUUCCAGGUGAAGUUUGGCAUUAAAUAGCGGCUGCUUUGGAUUUUUUUAAUGAUUAAAAAAAGGCAGUAGUGGGAUUUUUGAGGAUUCAUUAGAAUUAUGACGUUAUCGCCCCUUUCAAUAUUCCGUCGACGCUAUGAUCCCUUCCACAUUAAUUGUCUGCCACUUGCGCAAGUUUUCGAA